rnacentral:piRNA from 1 species
CUCUAUGCCAAGUAUAUGAGUGAGUGAUGU